rnacentral:snRNA from 1 species
ACCUAUAAACCUGGCCCAUCAAA